UGGGAGCUGGUAAACACGGGAGUACCUGGACGAGGACAGCUCUGGGUGGCCAAGAGGCCAGCCUUUAGCAAUCGGACAGCACAGGUUCAAAUUCCAGCACCUCCAUUCACCAUCUCUGUAACCUGGAGCAAUUUACUUAACCCCCCUCUCAAACACAGAUGGACCAACAGCACCCAUUGACCUAAACAAUGUGGUGAUGGCCGGCUGACAUUCUGAAGGCCCAGCACAGAUGAUGUUGGAAUUAUGGAUGUGUGGCACCAGAUCUUGACUUUUUAUACGGAAUCAAACAAGCUCAGAUUCAAGAUGAUCAAAGCAAGUCAGUGAACCCGAAAUGAGUUCAGAAGAGAUGGCCACUCAGAAUAAUAAUAGAACUUUGAAACUUGCAGGUUGACGGCAGUCUGAACUCAGCGUGCAUGUAUGCAGAGAAACUGUACAAAUAUUAAAAGUCCCCCAAGUGUGCAACAGGUGCAGAUGAAAACCAAAGGUGGCAUGGCACCCAUCAUGCGGCUCAGCUCUGCUGGAUCUUUGUCAAGCAGCCGUGCUUGCUUUAUGACCUCUGCGGUUCCCAUCAGAUAUGGCUGUGCCCUUUACCACGAAAUGAAAUAUAAACAUUUUUCAGAGACAAUCUUAUAGGCAGAAAUUUUAAAGUAUGACACUAUCAUUUGAUUCAUGCAGAAAUUAAUUUAUGAACUGAGAGAAUUUACACAUAAUUUGAAAGAUGAUGUAGACAACUACUAUCAAUAAAGCAUCAUGGUGCUAUGAAUUUUACUGUAUUCACAAUAAAAUUAUGGUUCAUGGUUUUUGUAACUUAA